CGAACGCUGGCGGCGUGCCUAAUACAUGCACGUAGAACGCUGAAGGAGGAGCUUGCUCUUCUGGAUGAGUUGCGAACGGGUGAGUAACGCGUAGGUAACCUGCCUGGUAGCGGGGGAUAACUAUUGGAAACGAUAGCUAAUACCGCAUAACAGUAGAUGUUGCAUGACAUUUACUUAAAAGGUGCAAUUGCAUCACUACCAGAUGGACCUGCGUUGUAUUAGCUAGUUGGUGGGGUAACGGCUCACCAAGGCGACGAUACAUAGCCGACCUGAGAGGGUGAUCGGCCACACUGGGACUGAGACACGGCCCAGACUCCUACGGGAGGCAGCAGUAGGGAAUCUUCGGCAAUGGACGGAAGUCUGACCGAGCAACGCCGCGUGAGUGAAGAAGGUUUUCGGAUCGUAAAGCUCUGUUGUAAGAGAAGAACGAGUGUGAGAGUGGAAAGUUCACACUGUGACGGUAUCUUACCAGAAAGGGACGGCUAACUACGUG
rnacentral:rRNA from 1 species